AUGAGGAGGCCUCCCAAUGAUGCGAAGCAUCAUUUAGGAAUGAGGCCGACGACUUGCCCGGGCCCGAAGGGGCGGGGCGCUACAUUAU
rnacentral:ncRNA from 12 species